rnacentral:rRNA from 1 species
CCACCUAGCUGGUGGCGGAUAACUAAUGGAGGACGCAGAAGGGUAGGUUAACCGGGGCAAUGGUAGUCCCCGGGUAAGCGAGUAGGGCGAUUCGAUGAAAGUUGAGUCAUAAAGCCUGAGACGUGAUGCCGAGUCGUUUAGACGAAGUAACUGAUCCCACACUGCCAAGAAAAGUCCAGUAGUGAGUUAACACGGUGCCCGUACCCCAAACCGACACAGGUGGAUGAGUAGAGAAUACUAAGGCGAUCGGGAGAACUAUGGUUAAGGAACUCGGCAAAUUACAUCCGUAACUUCGGGAGAAGGAUGACCCAUUUUGGUGGAGAACUAUACGUUCCGAGCUGAAGUGGGUGGCACAGACCAGGGGGUAGCGACUGUUUACCAAAAACACAGCAGCGUGCGAAGCCGCAAGGCGCUGUAUACGCUGUGACGCCUGCCCAAUGCUGGAAGGUUACGGGGAACGGUUAGUCGUAAGACGAAGCUGUGAACCUAAGCCCCAGUGAAUGGCGGCCGUAACUAUAACGGUCCUAAGGUAGCGAAAUUCCUUGUCGGGUAAGUUCCGACCUGCACGAAUGGCGUAACGACUUCCCCACUGUCUCAACCAUAGACCCGGCGAAAUUGAAGUACGAGUAAAGAUGCUCGUUAGCUGCGGAAGGACGAAAAGACCCCGUGGACCUUUACUAUAACUUGAUGUUGAGAUUUGACCUGCACUGUGUAGGAUAGGUGGGAGACUUUGAAGCAGGGGCGCCAGCUCUUGUGGAGUCAACCUUGAAAUACCACCCUGUGUAUGUCGGGUCUCUAACCUGGGUCCAUUAUCUGGAUCAGGAACAGCGUCAGGCGGGUAGUUUGACUGGGGCGGUCGCCUCCUAAACUGUAACGGAGGCGCCCAAAGGUUCCCUCAGGCUGGUUGGCAAUCAGCCGUCGAGUGCAAUGACACAAGGGAGCUUGACUGCGAGACUGACAGGUCGAGCAGGUACGAAAGUAGGGCAUAGUGACCCGGCCAUUGCGUGUGGAAGCGUGGUCGCUCAACGGAUAAAAGGUACCCCGGGGAUAACAGGCUAAUCUUCCCCAAGAGUCCAUAUCGACGGGAAGGUUUGGCACCUCGAUGUCGGCUCAUCGCAUCCUGGGGCUGAAGCAGGUCCCAAGGGUUGGGCUGUUCGCCCAUUAAAGCGGUACGCGAGCUGGGUUCAGAACGUCGUGAGACAGUUCGGUCUCUAUCCUCCGCAGCCGGAAGAGUCUUGAUGAAAGCUAUCCCUAGUACGAGAGGACCGGGAUGGACGGAGCUCUAGUGUGUCAGUUGUCCUGCCAAGGGCACGGCUGAUUAGCUACCUCCGGAAAGGAUAACCGCUGAAAGCAUCUAAGUGGGAAACCUGUUCAAAGAUGAGGACUCUCACAGGGUUAACCUGGUAAGGCCCGUGGCUAGACCACCACGUUGAUAGGCUGGAAGUGUAAGGACAGUAAUGUCUUCAGCUGACCAGUACUAAUCGGCCGAGGGCUUUAUUUA